GGAAGCUGAAGCAGAUACAGUGGCUAUACAUCUUGGAAGAUGCUCAUUCCUGUCUCCCUACAACUAUGGCUCAGGAAGGUCCUGAGUCUCAUCUACUGAAAGGCCAGGAGUGUCAGAAUUCAUUUGCUGAAUAAAGAAAAGGAGUUUUACACUCUCAAAGAAGUAAUAAUGCUGCAAUAUGCCUCACUGGAAGCCUCACUCUAACAAACAAAGGAAAUACAGGUGUCAAACAUCAUCAAGAAGACUAAUUUAUUGACCAAUCAAUUGCCUUGGAUCUGGCAGGAGUGGUUUUCUCUGAGGGUCUGAGACCAACAGCAACCAGGAGCAGCUCAAACUGGAUUUCUUCUCAGCCCUGUACAUAAAGGACAUUCUUUCCUUGCUAUGGAAAAAAGCAGAUGCAAUUAGAACCUGCUAAGCUAAUAGCUAAAAUAAUGCUCUGACAGCAAACAGAAACAGAAAGCGAAAACUUGGAAUUUGCGGGCAUGGAAAAUACUGCAAGGGAAGGACAGUUGAAUGUGUUCCAGGAUCCUAGGGCAGCCCCUGGCAGCUGCCCAGAGCACAGCAGGUCACACUGCUCCUGUGCAAGGAAAGACCUUUUCUCUCACUGGAGCCCAGGCUGCUGGAAAGUGUCUCCUGAAACAACAGGACACAGGGAUAGCCCCACAACAACAUAGCUCACCUGCUGAAACAACCCCACUGAACUAGAUUCUGGAGCAUAGACAGGGAGAGGAGCUGCUAAGGGAGAUGUCACUGUGCAGGGAACACUCUACUUUCUGUCUCCUACAUGCUGGUGCCAAAGAAGAUGUGUGAGUCAUAAAUCAGAGGAAGGACGAUUACUAUGGCAUGAAUGAUGAAGUGAGCAGAAUGUCAUUGGAAUUGGGCCAUUUCUCCAAGCUCUAGGGCUAACGUGAUGCUAUUUGUUGCAUCAUUUAUUCACCUAAUAAAGUGUUCAACAAAUA